GUGCUCGCUUCGGCAGCACAUAUACUAAUUGGAACGAUACAGAGAAGAUUAGUAUGACCUGUGCGCAAGGAUGACAUGCAAAUUCAUGAAAUGUUAAAACUAAAA